AUUGAACGCUGGCGGCAGGCUUAAUACAUGCAAGUCGAGGGGCAGCAGGUCCGUAGCAAUACGGAUGCUGGCGACCGGCAAACGGGUGCGGAACACGUACACAAACUUCCUUUAAGCGGGGAAUAGCCCGGGGAAACCCGGAUUAAUACCCCAUAGUAUAUUGAAGAGGCAUCUCUUUAUUAUUAAAGAUUUAUCACUUGAAGAUGGGUGUGCGGCUGAUUAGCUAGUUGGCGGGGUAACGGCCCACCAAGGCGACGAUCAGUAACUAGUGUGAGGGCACGACCAGUGACACGGGCACUGAGACACGGGCCCGACUCCUACGGGAGGCAGCAGUAAGGAAUAUUGGUCAAUGGACGAAAGUCUGAACCAGCCAUGCCGCGUGGAGGAUGAAGGUCCUAUGGAUUGUAAACUUCUUUUAUAUGGGACGAAAAAAGGUUUUUCUAGACCGACUGACGGUACCAUAUGAAUAAGCACCGGCUAACUCCGUGCCAGCAGCCGCAGUAACAC
rnacentral:rRNA from 1 species